UAGGGAAUCUUCCGCAAUGGGCGAAAGCCUGACGGAGCAACGCCGCGUGAGUGAUGAAGGUCUUCGGAUCGUAAAACUCUGUUAUUAGGGAAGAACAAAUGUGUAAGUAACUAUGCACGUCUUGACGGUACCUAAUCAGAAAGCCACGGCUAACUACGUGCCAGCAGCCGCGGUAAUACGUAGGUGGCAAGCGUUAUCCGGAAUUAUUGGGCGUAAAGCGCGCGUAGGCGGUUUUUUAAGUCUGAUGUGAAAGCCCACGGCUCAACCGUGGAGGGUCAUUGGAAACUGGAAAACUGAGUGCAGAAGAGGAAAGUGGAAUUCCAUGUGUAGCGGUGAAAUGCGCAGAGAUAUGGAGGAACACCAGUGGCGAAGGCGACUUUCUGGUCUGUAACUGACGCUGAUGUGCGAAAGCGUGGGGAUCAAACAGG
rnacentral:rRNA from 1 species